rnacentral:snoRNA from 15 species
AUUGCCCCUAGAGGCGUUACAAAUUUGGCUGCUGUGCCUCAUUUGUGUCAGUAGGUGGCAAAGAGAAAGAGACUAUGUCUACGCUCAGUGCUCUGACCCAGUGAGCACUCAGAAUGAUUAAUAGCCUGACACU